UCAGUUUCCAUUCGAUUACUUAAUAAAUCGGUCAAACUCACUUAAGUUUUCAGUAAACUGCAAUUAAAAAUAUAUAUUAAAAUUCUUAUAACAAAAAAUGAAUGAAAUCACGAGCUUAUUUACAACCUUUGGAAUCCUCUUAGCACUUCUGUUAGUUGUAUACGCAGUUUAUAAUGCAUUUACAUAAACCUGUCCGUAUUACGGUGAAUCAACAUAGCGUUAUAUUUCGAAAGAUGACGUAAUUUUUCAAAAUAGCACCACAGAGAAAAAGCAGAAAUAUAUAAACCCCUUCCCGCUGUGUACAAUUAUCUUUCAACGAUGCGUGACUAUAAUGUAAACAUUUAUUCACAACAGCAGAGCAAUGAAGUUAUCAAUAUUAAGUAAAUUAUGGAUCAUUUCACACCAAAAAAACUCAUGAAUAACUUUAUUUAUAAAACUCAAUAAAGUAAUUGAAAAAAGUGUAACUUUCUGUGUAUAAAAAAAUUUUGUUUUUAAGUUUAUUGAAUAAAAAAUUCUAUAAUUUAAUAAA